AGAGCAUCUUCCAAUAGAAGGGCAAAAAGGCCAUUUCACUGUUGAAUGAACACCGAAUAGUUGCUUUUAAGGAUCACUGGAUGCACUAAAUGAGCUUCUGAAGGAACCCAUACCAGUUAACCGAUUUAGACCCGGCCCCCAACAUUCUUGUUAACGGACGGAUGUGAACCAUUUUCCGAAGACCUAUUGACAGAGAUCAGGAUAGACAAGCUAACAUUUCAAGGUACCUACAAUCAAUCAAGCGACUGGCAUUGCAGGACCUGAGCCAAAUGACACACUUAAGAAAAUCUGGUCUGAUGCAGUUUUACGUCCAACAGGAAAACAGCAGGGAAGGUUGAGCAACUAAUUCAAGACUUUCUACCAUAAUCCUCCAUAUAUACAGAUGAUCACAUUUAAGAUUGUGAGUGAUUUUUCUGGUCUACUUCGGGAAGAAUCUUGUUUGGAGAGACUCUCUUACAGGAGGUGUGAAGGGAAAUGUCGUGAAGGUUGGAGAUCUUGUUUAUGUCCUCAAGAUGGUCUCUUCUGCUGAUGAAUUUUGUAAUUAAUGUACUUUAUCCAUGCUGUUAUAGGACACUAAAAACUGCUGUCUAGAUUGUAAAUAACAAACACGGUUACUUGUUAAAAAUUAGCUUCCUGCUUAGAUGAGAGUUCCAGGUAGUUCAAUAAAAGAAGAGAAUGCAAACAGA